rnacentral:rRNA from 1 species
GAUGAACGCUGGCGGCGUGCCUAAUACAUGCAAGUCGAGCGAACAGACGAGGAGCUUGCUCCUCUGACGUUAGCGGCGGACGGGUGAGUAACACGUGGAUAACCUACCUAUAAGACUGGGAUAACUUCGGGAAACCGGAGCUAAUACCGGAUAAUAUAUUGAACCGCAUGGUUCAAUAGUGAAAGACGGUUUUGCUGUCACUUAUAGAUGGAUCCGCGCCGCAUUAGCUAAUUGGUAAGGUAACGGCUUACCAAGGCGACGAUGCGUAGCCGACCUGAGAGGGUGAUCGGCCACACUGGAACUGAGACACGGUCCAGACUCCUACGGGAGGCAGCAGUAGGGAAUCUUCCGCAAAGGGCGAAAGCCUGACGGAGCAACGCCGCGUGAGUGAUGAAGGUCUUCGGAUCGUAAAACUCUGUUAUUAGGGAAGAACAAAUGUGUAAGUAACUAUGCACGUCUUGACGGUACCUAAUCAGAAAGCCACGGCUAACUACGUG